CCCACGUGUUUGUUUCUCUGGACAUAUAGAUGUUUUCUCCCCUGGGGAGGAAGCCGCUGCAGCUGUACAUUGAGCAGAACAUACUUCUGUGAUGAGUACAUGGACACGUCACCACGGACACAUGCUGGGGGCACAUAGAUUUUGACUCUGUAAGGUGGUGUUGGCUGCCUGUGAGACGCUGCGGGGAUUAGCUUUCGGGCUGGGGCUGCUUUGGGCUCACGGAUGUGCGAGUGCAAGAACGCCUGUGCCGAAGGACUGCCCACGUGCUUGAGAGCUAGAAAAGCCUGAUGGAAAGAAAUGCUUAACCAUGGAGCUUCUUUUAUACACGUGUCCUCAUUUCCCACUUGGGCACACUCACUGGAGGGUUCUGCAUCAAAAACUUGAAUUAA